GACGAACGCUGGCGGCGUGCUUAACACAUGCAAGUCGAACGGAAAGGCCUGCUUUCCCUUGUGGAUUGCGGGUACUCGCGUGGCGAACGGGUGAGUAACACGUGAGUGAUCUGCCCCCAACUUGGGUAUAAGCCUGGGAAACUGGGUCUAAUUCCCGAUAGGACUGCAGGGUGGUGCCUGUGGUGGAAAACGAUUUUCUAGUGGUUGGGGAUGAGCUCGCGGCCUAUCAGCUUGUUGGUGGGGUAAUGGCCUACCAAGGCGGCGACGGGUAGCCGGCCUGGGAGGGUGGACGGCCACAUUGGGACUGAGAUACGGCCCAGACUCCUACGGGAGGCAGCAGUGGGGAAUAUUGCACAAUGGGCGGAAGCCUGAUGCAGCGACGCCGCGUGGGGGAUGACGGCCUUCGGGUGGUAAACUCCUUUCGACCGCGAGGAAGCCACCUGGUUGGAAGGGUGGUGACGGUAGUGGUAGAAGAAGCACCGGCUAACUACGUG
rnacentral:rRNA from 1 species